rnacentral:rRNA from 1 species
CAGAACGUCGUGAGACAGUUCGGUCCCUAUCCGGCGCGGGCGGAGGAUAUUUGAGAGGAGCUGCCCCUAGUACGAGAGGACCGGGGUGGACGGACCACUGGUGUAUCAGCUGUCGACCAACGGCAUAGCUGAGUAGCCAAGUCUGGACGGGAUAAACGCUGAAGGCAUCUAAGCGUGAAGCCCCCCUCAAGAUGAGAUAUCCCCUCCUUCAAGGAGAUAAGAUCCCUUAAAGACGAUAAGGUAGAUAGGUUCAAGGUGUAAGUGCGGUAACGCAUUCAGCUGAUGAAUACUAAUAGAUCGAAGGUUUAUUCU